CAGUUUCGAAUCAUUCACAAUGGGCGAAAGCCUGAUGGUGCGACGCCGCGUGAGGGAUGACGGCCUUCGGGUUGUAAACCUCUGUCACCGGGGAAGAAACGCUUCAAUUUAAUAGAUUGAAGCCUGACUUAACCCGGAGAGGAAGCAGUGGCUAACUCUGUGCCAGCAGCCGCGGUAAUACAGAGACUGCAAGCGUUAUUCGGAUUCACUGGGCGUAAAGGGUGCGCAGGCGGCCAAGUGUGUCAGGUGUGAAAUCCCGAGGCUUAACCUCGGAACUGCGCCUGAAACUACUUGGCUAGAGUACUGGAGAGGGUAACGGAAUUCACGGUGUAGCAGUGAAAUGCGUAGAUAUCGUGAGGAACACCAGAGGCGAAGGCGGUUACCUGGACAGUUACUGACGCUCAGGCACGAAAGCGUGGGGAGCAAAAGGGAUUAGA
rnacentral:rRNA from 1 species